rnacentral:rRNA from 1 species
GACGAACGCUGGCGGCGUGCUUAACACAUGCAAGUCGAGCGGAAAGGCCCUGUCGGGGGUGCACGAGCGGGGGACGGGUGGGUAACACGUGAGCAAGUAGCCCGUCACUGUGGGAGAGAUGCCGGAAAGGGAGGCGAGUACCGGACAGGAAUUCGCUACGGAUGCGGGGUGGGGGAAAGACAGCGGGGGGGGGGGGAUGGGGUCGCGGGGUAUCAGCUUGUUGUGGGGGUGUUGGCCUACCAAGGCUUCGACGGGUAGCCGGCCUGAGAGGGUGACCGGCCACACUGGGACUGAGACACGGCCCAGACUCCUACGGGAGGCAGCAGUGGGGAAUAUUGCACAAUGGGCGAAAGCCUGAUCCAGCAACGCCGCGUGCGGGAUGACGGCCUUCGGGUUGUAAACCUCUUUCGCCUGCGACGAAGCGAGAGUGACGGUAGCAGGUAAAGAAGCACCGGCCAACUACGUG